rnacentral:rRNA from 1 species
UACGAGGGGGGCGAGCGUUGUUCGGAAUUAUUGGGCGUAAAGGGUGCGUAGGCGGUUUGGUAAGUCUUGUGUGAAAUCUACAGGCUCAACUUGUAGUCUGCACGAGAAACUGCCGGGCUUGAGUAUGGGAGAGGUGAGUGGAAUUCCUGGUGUAGCGGUGAAAUGCGUAGAUAUCAGGAGGAACACCUGUGGCGAAGGCGGCCUUCUGGACCAAUACUGACGCUCAUGCACGAAAGCGUGGGGAGCAAACAGG